UCCUUUCCUCACGGAUUUAUGGCAAUGGUCCUCCUGGGAUGAAUAGAAUAUACUGUUACUUCUCCCUCCCUGAGAAGUUCUUCCCAACCCAUAAAGUUUUUCCCAAGCUGACUAAUGCUUUGCUUGGUCAGAAUUGUUUUUGAGCCAUCGUUCUAAAUAUCAUCUCCCAGCUGAGUGAUCUGAGACUCAAACUAUUCAUACCCACUGACAUUACUGUGUUACUCCCGGGACUGCAAGAGCCAGCCUGGCCUGUGUGAUGGAGAUCAUUUGUGUACUCAUUCUCACUAUAUGUGACUCAGGCUGAAGUCAAUCAAUGUAUCGCAUUUCUCCUGGCCCCGGUGAUUGCUUUGUGGAUGGCACCACGGUCUCAAUCAGAGCCAACAGGAUGAUUCUCCUCCUUCAAUGAAUCAGGGCUGAGAGCUGCUCUGAACUACCAAUAGAGUUACCAAUGGGUAGCUUCUAAGGCUAGCCCAUAAGGGCAUUGCAGCUUCCAUCUUGUCUUGGAUUGCUCACCCUGGGUGAAGCCAGUUGCGGUACUCUGGGGACACUCAAGCAGCCCUGGAGAAUUCAUGUGGAAAGGAACAGAGAUCUUCCACCAACAGCCAGCACCAUCCUAACAGCCAAGUGAGUGAGCCCCCUUGACCGUGGUUCCUCCAGCCUCAGUCAAGCAUUCAAAAGGCUUCAGCUGACAUCUGACUACAACCUCGCAAGAGACCCCCAACCACAACACCCAUCCAAACUGCUCCAUACUCCUGACCCAGAGAAACUGUGAAAGAGAAUUAUUAUUGUUUUAAGUUUGGGGUGAUUUGUCAUGCAACAAAGAUGACUAAUUCAUCCUUUGAAAAGAUAGUGGCAGUGGUGGUGGUGUUAUGAACAACAAAUUGACUAGAGCUUUCUAUUUUGUGAUGUUAAAAGCAUGGAAUAUAAAUUUACUCAUGAGUUUUCCAUAAGAGAAACAUCCAAACAACUAAUCUGUAGAUUCUCUUAAAACCCAAACUCUGUGCUAAGGACUCAAUACAGCAGAAGUUGUGAUGUUGGUAGAAAAAGAAAGCAAAUACUUUAACUUUGUUAAAUUAUGAUGUUUUAGGAACUCAGCCUGCAUGACAAAGGAAAGGACAAAAGUAUUUUGGACCUUUUGUUUUUAUGUCACAAACAGUUCCAAAGUUCAGAGGAAGGAACUUCGGUGUUUCCUUUACACCAAAGCAGACUGAGCUGUGUUAUUUUAUUUAUCUGAGAAUAGGAAGUUACGUGAUUAUGAAUUCUGAGUAUCAGUCAGAAUUAUUCACAGCAAAAGCCUCUUAGGCUCUAACUGCUAAUCCAAACUUUUCAGAAAGCAAGUUUUGUGUUCCCCACAAAUCCCAUGGAAACUUGUUCACCUUUCAUAGGAAAUUGAAUUUAAUAAAAUCAUUUAUUAAGUCAAAAACAUUUUCUGUGCAAGCACCCCCAAAACUUAAAAUGUGACACUGUAGUGUACAAGCCUGACACUGCUGUUGUUAACAGUUGGAAGUCCUUCUUACUCCGUAUCUAAAUGGCAAAAUACUGACCAUCCUGUACCAUUUUAAUAAGUUUCAAGUUUAUGUUGCAUCUAUUAUCUCAUUUGAGUCUUUUUUUU
rnacentral:lncRNA from 1 species